rnacentral:lncRNA from 1 species
GAUACAAGAGCAGAGGAGAGACUGCCCAAGGACUGCAUCUGAAUGCUUCAAACAAGAGUUCACUGACAGAAGGAGGUCAUUGAAUUAUUAUCUGUACAGGUACCACAAUCAUGGCACCAAUCAGCACCGAUCUCGUAGGCUGGGCGCUCACAGAGCAACCAGAGGCUGCAUUUCUUUCCAUAGUCGUCCUCUUCAUUGUCAGCAUCGCACUCCUCGUUCUCUGUGCAAGCUGUAAAAAGUGAGUGGUUUCUGAGUGUCCUUUAAGAGAUUUUGUGGAUUUUUGGUAAAAAAAAAAAAAAAACACUCAAAGAAUGAUAGUCAACUAGAACCGGAACACGAUACAUGUCCUACUAGGUAUGUAGCAACAAGUACACCCACCUCUUGUUGUCCUGUCCUACUUCAGAAUUUCAUGUUUAAUUUGGUGUUACUCGCUGCUUCUUUGCAACUCUUUAUGAAAUUCACUGUCAAAUUCUGAGUGGAAUUGUUUCUACACCAAUUUUUUCAGUGAUAUAUUGCAUUCAACCUUUAAUCUGUCUUUUUUGUAGGUACCACAAUCAUGGCACCAAUCAGCACCGAUCUCGUAGGCUGGGCGCUCACAGAGCAACCAGAGGCUGCAUUUCUUUCCAUAGUCGUCCUCUUCAUUGUCAGCAUCGCACUCCUCGUUCUCUGUGCAAGCUGUAAAAAACAUUCAUUUGAGUUAGAGAGCCACAGCGUACCCGAGCAGCAGAAAGCAUCCACACUUGUGAGCGUGGCAAAAAUGAAUGAUUCAAGAGGUGCCAGACAAAGCCCUGCUGCUAAUGACAUCACAGAAGAUGAAACCGGUUUAGAGGCGGCGGAAGGUGACGUUGCGUACAAACCCUGGAGAAGUCACACUCUCACUCACGGUUCAAGCCUACAACCUCAAAUAAAUGGUGGUGCUGGGACAACGACUGAGGGUUCGGUGACACGUCAAGCUAUCUGAGAACGUGCAAGCACUUCGGAUGACCCUGUUCUACUUCUAAAAUACUCUCUGAGUGAAAUUUCACAAGACAAUACAAACAUAGAAGUACCUUUCUUAUUAUUUUUUCAUUCAGGUGACAAAAGUGGAGUCGCUGCUGUAGGCGAAACACCACCAACUUUGAAUGGUGGAAAAAAGCCUGCAAAGAGCUCCACCAUCUUUAUUAUGCAACCUGAAAUGCUCAAACUAAACCAACCCCUUCACUAUUUGGAGAUAAAUGGUUUCUGUAUCCUUCUGAAGCCAGGCUGAGGUCCUGCUUUGUGGCAUUGACUCCCAUAAGUGCCCAUCAAACUUUGAGACCAUAGAAACUAUAGGAGCCCCCGAUCGGUCCCUCAGCAUGGACUGGACUGAUUCAAAGCUGAAUCAGUAUGCAAUGGUUCAGACAAGAAUGGUCAGUGUCCCUUAAGGGAGGGAGCCUGAUCUUCUGGCCACACCUGUUUUGACAAAUGGGGAUCUCUAUUCAGGUGGUCACAGAUUAAAUGCAACAUAAACAAGAAAAUCAGGUGUCAUCUCCAUCUGAAGAGGAGGGGGAAGUGUCGGCAUUAUUACCAAAAAGACCUAAACAAAAAUGAAGAUUUUCCUUGUAAUCUUUUUCUAAUGAAGUCCAGUAUUGUGAAAUUAUUCUGUAUUCAUAUUCAUUCUUAGUAGGGGUGCAAUAUAGACUUUAUCUCUCAGAUCAACUGGUCUGUAUAUGUUUAAGUUUAUGGAUUUAAAUAGCAGCAUACUAGUGAAUACUUUGAGGUUUUGAACAAAUGUAUGAAUUCAAGUGGGCAUGAAUGAUGUAAUUAAAGUACCAUAUGCUUUAGAAUUAACCCUCUCGUUCUGCUGAGAUUGACUUUAUUCUUUUAUUAAGGGAAAUAUUUGCUCCAAAGUAUUUGGGCUUUUAUUUUUCUUUCUUUUUUAACUUUUGUUAAGGCAUUAAGAGGCUGAAAUUCUUACAUAAUCUUUGAAAUAAUUAGAUCUGAAAUAGUUUUCUUUAAAAUAAGAAGCAGGGAGACAAACGCAUUAUGAUUGUUGAUACUUCUCUGCUAAAUUAAAGUCUGAGUAGUGCAAACAAAAGACAAGAAACCAUUUUAGUGACUUAAAUGCAUGAUUUUUGUAAAACAUUUGUGACCUUUAAAAAUAUGGGAAAAAAAUGAGUCAAACAUUUUGUAGACAUUUUAAAAAAACUAAAACAAUGAAACCAACAUGCAUUUAUAUGAACUUUGUAUAAGCACAUGGUUUUAUUUAGUAAUUUCUGACAUCCUUUUUUUGUCAUUGACCCUUAUGUUAAAAAGAAACUAUACUGAACUCAAAACUAGAUCUAGAACUAAAUAAUAUGUAAUAUUUCAAAUAUUAGAAAACAUAAAAGGCCGCAUUCACCACAGAAUCUUACAUUGUGACAAUAUGUAACAUUUAUUAAUGUCUUAAUUAAUGCCUUAUUAAUGCCUGGGGUUUCUGUCUCACCAAACAUUAUUCAGGGUGUUUUGAUUCAUGUUCAGGUGGGCAUUUUGUUUUUAACCAAUUCUUUAAAGAUUAGUGAAAUCUCAUGAAUCAACCUGAUACUAAAUGCUAAGCAUGGUUUGGAUUUAUUGAUGUUACAAGAUCUUAAAGUUGCAUGCCUUAUCUAAUAAAUUCUUAAUGUGUGUAAUUAAAUGUUUUUGUUUUGCUUAUAAAUAUACACACAAAUACUAAUACACUGUGAAAGUGUAAAAAUCACGCUGCACAAAAAGUUUGCAUCAUGCAUUUAUCAUAAACUUAUCAACACUUGUCUAUUUAAUCGUGCAAGUGACAGCAUCCUUUAAAUAUACAGGCUAUAUUUAAACCUAUUUCUUUGCCCUAUGAUCUUUGACCUAUUUUCUGUAACGCUUAAUACUCACGUUCGAUGGUGAAUAAAUAAAUAAAUAAAUAAAACACUAAGGUUUAAAGCCCCGCUUCACGUGACGCCUGUUCUUGCAGUCUUGGGAAACGCACCAAGAACUGUGCCCGACGUGCAGAACUCGGGUUCUGUACGUUCUUGCACGUGUAUGUGCUUUCGCGCACGUACGCGUUCAUUGGCCUCAACUGAUGCACGAGCUCAGCGCGUGGGGAGCUGCGUCACAGCGAUUGACCAAUGGUGUGCGGAGGCGAUGCCACCGGGCUGGGAAAGCUUUUAUUAUGUAACCCUUUCAUACCCUCCCCCUUUAGAAAGCACAGCUACUGGAAUAAAUGAAAGAAAGAAAACACAGCUACUGAACUUAAGAAUGUAAGAUGCUUUCUAUUGUACAUUUAAGGAUAACAUACCUACUGUUAGGUAAACAUAUAAAUUAACCCUCUCAUAGCAAACCAUUACAACUAAUUUACUCUCGUUUGUUAUUACCCCCCCCCCCCCCCCUAAACGAAGGUUAACCGUAAACGACACUUUAGUUGAAAGAAAACAAAAAAUUAAAUUAAUUUUAGGUUAAAACGAAAGAUCUCGUUUACGUUACUUAACCCCCCCCCCCUACCCAAAAAAAAGGUUACCAAAAAGCACUUUAGUAGAAAGAAACAAAAAUUAAUAAUUUUGGAAAACAGAUGAAAACAAAACUAUUUGAGUUAUACGAAACCGUGAAGACAACUCUUUAUGUUGUGUAUUUUAUAACAGCAUAUAUUUAUAGCAUAUUCUUUACUGAAAACAAGUCAAACAUGACCCCAAGGUUAAUCCUAUGAAGGAAAUGCAUACAGUGCAACAUCAACCAGCCACGAGUUACAAUGAACACGAUGUGCACAUAUGCACAGAAACAAAUUCUGCACUUUGCAGACACACGAUUGUUAAAUUAUUGCAUUUUAAUGCACACUUCAUGUCAUGAAAUAAAAAGCAUAGAAAUAUAAUAAAUAUACAGGAGUUUGCGUUUUAAAUAAUUAUUUGCACAGUAUGCAACAAUGCAGCCAUUUGCACGUUGUUUCUCUGCAUUCCUGAUCAAAUGCAUUUUACAGUAGCAAUGCAAAGCCGCAGAGUUUCAUUAAAAGUGGUGUGGGAAGUACGUGAAAUACAGUGCGCUAUGUGUGUCCAUUGUGUUUCUUUUCUUGACCCUUCCUCAACUUCUGCGUAAACAAGUUGGAAUUGUAGGGCGUGUGUCUUGGAAAGCGGUGUUUAGCCAAUGAGCGUCGACAUCUCUACCACAUGGUCAGGUUGUUUACUACAAAAGCAGAAGCUCGCUAGAAGGCGCUGAGUGGCAAACCCGGCACCGGAUUUACACUGGAACGGCUCAUCUCUGUGAAGACGGAAGCAAUGCGGAUUAAAACUAAAUCAAACAGAAGCUCGCCUCAUCUAUG